UACAGAGGGGGCAAGCGUUGUCCGGAAUCAUUGGGCGUAAAGCGCGUGUAGGCGGCCCGGAAAGUCUGGUGUGAAAUCUUGGGGCUCAACCCUAAGCUGUCACUGGAUACUAUCGGGCUUGAGUACGGAAGAGGCGAGUGGAAUUCCUGGUGUAGCGGUGAAAUGCGCAGAUAUCAGGAGGAACACCAAUGCGAAGGCAGCUCGCUGGGACGUUACUGACGCUGAGACGCGAAAGCGUGGGGAGCAAACAGG
rnacentral:rRNA from 1 species